rnacentral:rRNA from 1 species
UACGUAGGGUGCAAGCGUUGUCCGGAAUUAUUGGGCGUAAAGAGCUCGUAGGCGGUCUGUUGCGUCGGCUGUGAAAACCCGGGGCUCAACCCCGGGCCUGCAGCCGAUACGGGCAGACUAGAGUUCGGCAGGGGAGACUGGAAUUCCUGGUGUAGCGGUGAAAUGCGCAGAUAUCAGGAGGAACACCAGCGGCGAAGGCGGUGCUCUGGGCCGGAACUGACGCUGAGGAGCGAAAGCGUGGGGAGCGAACAGG